AUCAAAACACAGAGGAGGGCGACCAGGGUUCUUCAAAACCCUAACUUUCAUAAAUCUUACAAAUUGAAGGCUCAAAUCUGUUCCAAAACGAAAUCCGAGCUAAGAUUAGUGAUCUCCAUUGCAAGGGGGUCAUAAGGAAAGGAAGCCGGAGCAUCGAGCGGACAAGCCGGUGUUGACGCACGAUUGAAGGGUGUGCUUUGAAGGUGAUGAUGGGGUCUUUCCGGAUGGCGAUCAAGCAUGUUUUGAAGAACCGAACACGAACUUUUGAAGCUUCCGC